GUGCCAACUUCGGCAGCACAUUACUGUAAAGUGGAACAAUGCAGAGAAGUUUAGCAUGGCCCCUGAGCAAGAAUAACAUGCAAGUUCAUGAAGCAUGAAAUAUAUAU
rfam:Otolemur garnettii contig050480, whole genome shotgun sequence.